GAUGAACGCUGGCGGCGUGCCUAAUACAUGCAAGUCGAGCGAACAGACGAGGAGCUUACUCCUCUGACGUUAGCGGCGGACGGGUGAGUAACACGUGGAUAACCUACCUAUAAGACUGGGAUAACUUCGGGAAACCGGAGCUAAUACCGGAUAACAUGUUGAACCGCAUGGUUCAACAGUGAAAGACGGUCUUGCUGUCACUUAUAGAUGGAUCCGCGUCGCAUUAGCUAGUUGGUAAGGUAACGGCUUACCAAGGCAACGAUGCGUAGCCGACCUGAGAGGGUGAUCGGCCACACUGGAACUGAGACACGGUCCAGACUCCUACGGGAGGCAGCAGUAGGGAAUCUUCCGCAAUGGGCGAAAGCCUGACGGAGCAACGCCGCGAGUGAAGAAGGUCUUCGGAUCGUAAAACUCUGUUAUUAGGGAAGAACAAAUGUGUAAGUAACUAUGCACGUCUUGACGGUACCUAAUCAGAAAGCCACGGCUAACUACGUG
rnacentral:rRNA from 1 species